GAUCGGGUGGAGAGGCGUAAUAGAAUACCCAUUAGGGAAAUAGGCCCGGAGCUGCUUGUAGGCUCAGUUGGCACCCGAUCACCAGCUA
rnacentral:ncRNA from 1 species